rnacentral:rRNA from 1 species
UACGUAGGGGGCAAGCGUUGUCCGGAAUCAUUGGGCGUAAAGAGCGUGUAGGCGGUCCGGUAAGUCGGCUGUGAAAGUCCAGGGCUCAACCCUGGGAUGCCGGUCGAUACUGCCGGACUAGAGUUCGGAAGAGGCGAGUGGAAUUCCCGGUGUAGCGGUGAAAUGCGCAGAUAUCGGGAGGAACACCUAUGGCGAAGGCAGCCCCCUGGGCUAACACUGACGCUCAGGCACGAAAGCGUGGGGAGCAAACAGG